AUAGCGUAUAUUAAAGUUGUUGCAGUUAAAAAGCUCGUAGUUGAACCUUGGGUCUGGGUGACCGGUCUGCCUCACCGCAUGCACUGGGAACCCGGACCUUUCCUUCUGGCAAACCUCAUGCCCUUCACUGGGUGUGUUGGGGAACCAGGACUUUUACUUUGAAAAAAUUAGAGUGUUUAAAGCAGGCAUUCGCUUGAAUACAUUAGCAUGGAAUAAUAGAAUAGGACUUUGGUUCUAUUUUGUUGGUUUCUAGGACCGAAGUAAUGAUUAAUAGGGAUAGUUGGGGGCAUUAGUAUUUAAUUGUCAGAGGUGAAAUUCUUGGAUUUAUUAAAGACUAACUUCUG
rnacentral:rRNA from 1 species